AUACGUAGGGAGCAAGCGUUGUCCGGAUUCACUGGGCGUAAAGGGCGCGUAGGCGGCUCGUUAAGUAUGAAGUGAAAUCUCCAGGGCUCAACCCGGAAACUGCUUUGUAAACUGGCAAGCUAGAGGAAGGCAGAGGUGAAUGGAAUUCCUGGUGUAGCGGUGGCAUGCAUUGAUAUCAGGAGGAACACCAGAGGCGAAGGCGGUUCACUGGGCCUUUUCUGACGCUGAGGCGCGAAAGCGUGGGUAGCAAACAGGAUUAGAAACCCCAGUAGUCC
rnacentral:rRNA from 1 species